GACGAACGCUGGCGGCGUGCCUAACACAUGCAAGUCGAACGGAAAGGCCCUGCUUCUGUGGGGUGCUCGAGUGGCGAACGGGUGAGUAACAAGAGAGUAACCUGCCCUUGACUUUGGGAUAACUUCAGGAAACUGGGGUUAAUACCGGAUAGGAGCACCUGCUGCAUGGUGGGGGUUGGAAAGUUUCUGCGGUUGGGGAUGGACUCGCGGCUUAUCAGCUUGUUGGUGAGGUAGUGGCUUACCAAGGCUUUGACGGGUAGCCGGCCUGAGAGGGUGACCGGCCACAUUGGGACUGAGAUACGGCCCAGACUCCUACGGGAGGCAGCAGUGGGGAAUAUUGCACAAUGGGCGGAAGCCUGAGGCAGCAACGCCGCGUGCGGGAUGACGGCCUUCGGGUUGUAAACCGCUUUCGCCUGUGACGAAGCGUGAGUGACGGUGAUGGGUAAAGAAGCACCGGCUAACUACGUG
rnacentral:rRNA from 1 species